UACAAGAAUAGUCUAUUGAAUUUGUUGGAAGUUUCACAUCGACUAGAGAUAAGACUACAGUAAUAAGUGGGUGCAAACCUCACUUUAUAAGUUAAUUUUGUGGAGUUGAGUUAGACUUAAAAUUCACUUCUUAACAUGGUAUCAAAGCUAGGUUAGAGCCUAUCAUAGUGAGAUUUGUUAUUUGUUAGGCAUAUUGUUCUACCCGCUAUUAAGCCUCUAUCGAGUCAUCCAUUAAUGUCUAUUCCAACGCUCGAGAUGUAUAUACUUUGGUGUGAGGAGGGUGUGUUGGAAGUCUCACAUCGUUUAGAAAUAAGGUGAUUUCAUAGUAUAUAAACCUCACCGUAUGAGCCGGUGUUGUAGAGUUGAGUUAGGCUUAAAAUCUACUUUUUAACAUGGUAUCAGAGUCAGGUUAGAGUCUAUCUUAGCAAAAUUUGUUAUUUAUUGUGCAUAUUAUUCUAUCCGCUAUCGAGCCGCUAUCAAACCGUUAUUGGGCCACCCAUUAGUGUCUAGUCCUAUGCUCAAGAUGUAUAUACCUCGACAUGAGGGGGUGAAUUGGAAGGAAUGUUGUCAAAAUCGCGAUCUUACUCACAAACUCGAACGAACCUGCGAGUUUUCACAACCCAUGCGAGUUAAAUAGUAUGCUAGAUCAAAAGUUUGCCGGAUUGGAGCGAUCUUUUGAGUUCUUUCGCUAGAUCAGAGGAUUGUGCUUCAUGUCGAUCUUCCAUGGUGAUGUUGAAGAUAGGUUCAAAAGGAGAAAAAAUGGAAUUAGGGUUUGACGACACCAUGUUUUAUUAAAACAGACCUGCUCCAUGUUUUAGUAAAAAACAGACUCAGUUCAGUCCAAAACCCAACUUUUUUCCCUCCUUUUCUUUUAGGUUUGGUUAACUUUUUUUUCACCUCAAAAACAGAAACAAUUUUGCAACCUUACAAACAGAAACUCAUACAAUAUGCACAAAGUUUCACCUGUUGCCAAUGCCUCGUCAUUGAUGCUUCUCAUCGUCCUCAUUGCAUCGCCACUCUUCCCUGUGACUUUUAGGUACUACCCCUGUUUGUUUUCUCUCCACGUCGCCUCUUUUUAUUCUCAAUUUGAAGAAGAAACAAAUGACAUCAAGUGGAAGAAGAAGUGGAAUUGGAGUAAGGACUGAACCAGCAUGGAGUCAUUGUGUUUCUUUUGAUGGGAAAGCAAGAAAUGUAAAAUGUAAAUACUGUGAAAAGUUAUUGACGGGUAGAAUUUAUCGACUCAAGCAUCGUUUAGCAGGAACCUCAAAGGAUGUUGGAGCAUCUAUUGCAGUUCUGAAAGAUGUAAAAAUAUUAAUGUUGGGUGUGGUUUCUGUGUUGCAGAAAAAUCUGAUUAAAAAAUCAAUAACCAGCCAUGGGAUUUAUCUAUAAAGAAAUGGAUAUUGCUAAAGAGAAGAUAGAAAGUAUUUUCAAUGGAGUUAGCAAGAGGUGAAGAUUUGGAAUCGUGAAGCUAAUUUCAUUAUUGUUUUAAUUAAUUGAUUGUACACAGCAAAAAUGAAAAUGCUGGAACUUCCGUAUUUGGUGAUAAACUACUCAAUCUAUUUCUAAAAUGAAAAGGCAAUUCAGUGGCCUCAUUUAAUUCAA